GCGUUGUUCGGAUUCAUUGGGCGUAAAGGGUGCGUAGGUGGCGCCGUAAGUCAGGUGUGAAAUUUCGGAGCUUAACUCCGAAACUGCAUUUGAUACUGCGGUGCUUGAGGACUGGAGAGGAGACUGGAAUUUACGGUGUAGCAGUGAAAUGCGUAGAGAUCGUAAGGAAGACCAGUGGCGAAGGCGGGUCUCUGGACAGUUCCUGACACUGAGGCACGAAGGCCAG
rnacentral:rRNA from 1 species